rnacentral:rRNA from 1 species
UACGGAGGGGGCGAGCGUUAUUCGGAAUUAUUGGGCGUAAAGGGCGCGUAGGCGGCUGUACAAGUCAAAGGUGAAAUCCCUCGGCUCAACUGAGGAACUGCCUUUGAAACUGUACGGCUUGAGGCCGGGAGGGGGUAGCGGAAUUCCCAGUGUAGCGGUGAAAUGCGUAGAUAUUGGGAGGAACACCAGUGGCGAAGGCGGCUACCUGGACCGGUUCUGACGCUGAGGAGCGAAAGCGUGGGGAGCGAACAGG